CUCUUUCUUUUUUUUUUUUUUUUUUUUUUUGGUCUCAUUUUCGAAUUGUAGUUGACAAGUUUUAUUUAAAAAACACUUUACGAGCCACCACUUAAUGCAUUAUUCACAUUUUUUAAAAAUGCUUGAAAGAAAUCACGUUAAUGAAGAGAACAUUUGUAGUAAUUUGGUGAUAAUUAUCAGAAUCACCAAAUAUUCGCAAAGGCUUUAACAUUACGUGUUGGAAGAAAAGCAAAACACAUUAUUUUAAUAGUCUGAUAUGCAAACUAUGGACCAUUCAAUUACAUGGCUUAAUAAUGCAUACAUGAUGUGAUCUUGUUAUUGGGAUAGGAAGGGCUGCAGUAAUUCACUCCAAAGACCAAGUGUGCUCUUACAUCCAGUAAAAUCCAUUGCCAUGGAUCAGGGGGCCCUGCCAAACUACAUUUAAGAGAAUAAAAAUUAAUGACUGAGAAUUUGAGCGUUAAAUUAACAUUAAUUAUAUGACCUGCCUGCUGGAAAGAUUAAAUUUCUUACGCCCUAAUUAGAUAACGUCUCCUCAUACAUCAAACAAUUUCCAUUUCCAGAUUUCAGGAUUAAAAUGCAGACCGGGGAGACCAAAAGGCUUGGUCGGUCGCCGGUGCCCGCCGGCCCCACGGAGCGCUCCCCACCCCGUCCCGGGGCUCACCGGGUCUCACCGGGGCUCACCGGGGCUCACCGGGAGCGGGGCCAGGGGAGCAGCUCCGGGGUCAAACCUCUCCUUCAACCUCAAUUUCUCUCCCCCGGCGCUCCGGAGGCGGCCGGUCGGGGCGGGAGAGCGCGGAAGGUGCGCGGGUGCGGACGGGGAUGCUGCUCCGGCGGCGGGACCGGGGUACCCACGCCGGCCCCACGGGCUGCCCCCACGCCGGCCACCCCGAAACGGAAAGCUCCUGAAGAAAAGUCGGAGGAAGCCAGGAUCAAACCCAGCGUUGCUAUUCCCAGGCUGCUUUGGGAGAGGGUGAGCACAGAGGAGCUGGGGUGGCAUUUGGUGGCCUCCCGGUUAAACGAAAAGGUCACAGCAACCCCUUCGCCGCCUCCAGAAAGCUGUGAAAAAGAGGACUCAUAG
rnacentral:lncRNA from 1 species